UUCUUUCUUCCUCUGCCAUUUCAGUUAUGGAGGCUUGUGUUGAUGUGGAGGUGCAGUGAUGUGGAAGUGGCCUGAGAUGCUGAGCUCACAGUGUAUUCACCUCUUUUUGGACUAUGGUUGACUGGAUAAAUGAGACCACAGGAAACAAAACUGCGGAGAAAGGGGACUUCUUUCUGUCUAGACAGAAGCUGAAGGAUUGCCGAAGUUUUGAAGCUAUCACAGCCAAGCCUCAUCUCCAGCCAAGUGGUUAGCAGACUCCCUUGUGGCAGUUUUACCAAUUGGAUUUUUAAUGUUUCAUUCCAUUUUAGCUCAGCUUCUAGGACAGAAUCUGUGAUAUAGAGGUGAAUAAUAUAUUCAAAUGAAUGAGGACGACAGCUCUGUCAACAGUUCAGAGAGUCCCAGAAAGGGCCUACUGUCUUCUCAUGGUUUUACAUUUUCCUGCCUGCCACCCAUCCUGCAGCGUCUUCCCUGACACAGCCUGAGCUUCUUUAGCACUCCCACCCAAAUUUCCUUUUAUUUCUGUGCCUUUGGCAAUUGCUUUUCCUCUACUUGCCUCCAAUAUGAGGCAGAAAUGUUAAUAUGAUCUCUUACUCUCCUCUCCAGUUCUCUUUGUUUCUCAGAACAUUCUAGAGAGCAUCUAGUAAUAGUGACAGCCCAUGUCUCUGUAUUCCUUGCUUUCCUUCAUCUGAUUAAAUAAUACUGAGGAACAGAAUCUUG
rnacentral:lncRNA from 1 species